UGGGGAAUAUUGGACAAUGGGCGAAAGCCUGAUCCAGCCAUGCCGCGUGUGUGAAGAAGGUCUUCGGAUUGUAAAGCACUUUAAGUUGGGAGGAAGGGCAGUAAGCGAAUACCUUGCUGUUUUGACGUUACCGACAGAAUAAGCACCGGCUAACUCUGUGCCAGCAGCCGCGGUAAUACAGAGGGUGCAAGCGUUAAUCGGAAUUACUGGGCGUAAAGCGCGCGUAGGUGGUUCGUUAAGUUGAAUGUGAAAGCCCCGGGCUCAACCUGGGAAAUGCAUCCAAAACUGGCGGGCUAGAGUAGGGCAGAGGGUGGUGGAAUUUCCUGUGUAGCGGUGAAAUGCGUAGAUAUAGGAAGGAGCACCAGUGGCGAAGGCGACCACCUGGGCUCAUACUGACACUGAGGUGCGAAAGCGUGGGGAGCAAACAGG
rnacentral:rRNA from 1 species